UAUAUACUCCCUUCUUCCAACAAAAAAUGUCUCAACUUUUACUAAAUUUGAAUGCAUCUAUACACUAAGUCAUGUCUAGAUACAUCCAAAUUUUGACAAACUUGAGAUAUCUUUUGUUGGAUGGAGGGAGUAUAUG
rnacentral:pre_miRNA from 1 species